GACGAACCGUCCAAACGUUGUUCGGAAUCACUGGGCUUAAAGGGCGCGUAGGCGGGCGAUCAAGUCAGGGGUGAAAUCUUUCGGCUCAACCGGAAAAGUGCCCCUGAUACUGAUUGUCUCGAGGGAGGUAGGGGUAUGUGGAACUUCCGGUGGAGCGGUGAAAUGCGUUGAUAUCGGAAGGAACGCCGGUGGCGAAAGCGACGUACUGGACCUCUUCUGACGCUGAGGCGCGAAAGCUAGGGUAGCGAACGGG
rnacentral:rRNA from 1 species